GAUGAAGAACGCAGUGAAAUGCGAUACGUAAUGUGAAUUGCAGAAUUCAGUGAAUCAUCGAAUCUUUGAACGCACAUUGCGCCCGCCAGCAUUCUGGCGGGCAUGCCUGUCCGAGCGUCAUUUCAACCCUCAGGGUCCCCCCGCCUCGCGCGGUCGGAGCCUGGUGUUGGGGAUCGGCCCGCCCCGCGCGGCGCCGUCCCCCAAAUACAGUGGCGGUCCCGCCGCAGCCUCCCCUGCGCAGUAGUUAUCAACUCGCACUGGAGCGCGGCGCGGCCACGCCGUAAAACCCCCGACUUUCAGAAAGUUGACCUCGGAUCAGGUAGGAAUACCCGCUGAACUUAAGCAUAUCAAUAAGCGGAGGA
rnacentral:misc_RNA from 1 species